rnacentral:rRNA from 1 species
GACGUAGGUGGCGAACGUUAUCCGGAAUUACUGGGCGUAAAGGGCGCGUAGGCGGCACGGCAAGUCGGGAGUGAAAGCCCGGGGCUCAACCCCGGAGGGUCUUCCGAAACUGCCGAGCUAGAGUGCGGAAGAGGCAACCGGAAUUCCCAGUGUAGCGGUGAAAUGCGUAGAUAUUGGGAAGAACACCAGAGGCGAAGGCGGGUUGCUGGGCCGACACUGACGCUGAGGCGCGAAAGCCAGGGGAGCAAACGGG